UCUAACCAUUUUUGUUUAAGCACCUUGUAACGUUCCCAGCGGAUGGUCAUCCCGUUGCCAUGACAACGCUGGCAUGUUCAGUGUUCUUGCUGUUUACAUGAAAAGACGAGCUACAGGCAGGAAGAAAACUCCUCCAUUCUCCUGUUUUCACCAGCAGACCUCACACAGCUCCUCUGAGAGCGACUCCGAACACGACCAGACAGACCCGUGAGGAGGCGGCGGGCCGCCCAUCAAAACAGCAACUGUUCUGAAACGGCAGAGGAGCACCACACCAUCAGGACUUUGAUCAAAAACUCUCCUGCUCUUCUGGAUUCCACACCUGCCGUCAGUCUCUCUGGGUGGAUCCUCUGUUGAAACUCCGGCUGCGUCAUUAGAGAGAAUGACGUUACAAGUCGUAUGCAUCAAAGCUGUCCAAUCGUCGUCAUGGUAACAACCAAAUAAAUAGUGAGGACCAACAAGCUGAAUCAUGUUGACGAAAGGGGCUCAAAGUUUCUUUGACAACAGCAGAGUCUUCCAUAAACAGAGCAGCUUUUAUCACAUUUGCAUUUUCUUUAAAGCAUGGAGGCGGCACUUCAGUUUGCUCUUUGUUUCCAACCGAGCGACUUUUCCAAAGAGCGGCGUUUUGAAUGGAAACUCCCUCACAAGACGUUGAUUUUGUGCAACGUCCUGCCCUGAAAUCCUGAUGCAAAGGCCCCCAUAAUUCAUCAGUUGCGCUCCGUCACAGGGUUCGCUGUCACGUCCUGGGUUUCCACCCAGCGAUUCCUGCCCUCCCCUAAUCUGUUGCAUGCAGCCGCUAUUCAUGGCGAGAAACGAAGCGCGUCCGACCCAGAACACUUCAUCUGCUUGGGUUGCAUGCAUGGCUACGAAACAGCUCAUGUCAGCCGUGAUGACACAUGGACCCAUUCAUCCGCCCCUCUCCACUUUGUUGGGAGACUUUUCCAGAUCAAGCAGGAACAAGCUCAGUCCUUUGCUGCCCAUUGAAAAAUUUUCUGCCUAAUAAAGCCUCCAAACAUUCAA